rnacentral:rRNA from 1 species
UACGUAGGUGACAAGCGUUGUCCGGAUUUACUGGGCGUAAAGAGCGCGCAGGCGGUCGUUCAAGUCGAGUGUGAAAGCCCCCGGCUCAACUGGGGAGGGUCAUUCGAUACUGAUCGACUCGAAGGCAGGAGAGGGAAGUGGAAUUCCCGGUGUAGUGGUGAAAUGCGUAGAUAUCGGGAGGAACACAAGUGGCGAAGGCGACUUCCUGGCCUGUUCUUGACGCUGAGGCGCGAAAGCUAGGGGAGCAAACGGG